GUCACAUGACUGCACAUCCGCUCUGCUCUGUGACUGUUGCUGUUGCUGUUUGGCUGCUAUGACGACGGAGUUUGAAUAAAGUUGGAUGAAUGGCUACAAGGAAGAAGAAGAAGAAGCUUUCCUCCUCUAAAAUGCAUCAAAAGUCUCUGAAAUGCACCGUGUACCUGGACAUCCAGUCAGUCACAUGUCCAGGAGUGCUCCUGACUAAAAACAACCGCAUCUACCUCAGUGUGUGCAUCCUGGGCCAGUACAGGAAGACUCCCUGUUUAUCACCUACGUUCCCUUUACUCUUCCACCACAAAAUGAUGUUUGUCAAGACUUUCCCCGGCGUUGUUGACCCUGCUGAUGUAGCUGACCUCCUGGAAGCUGACACAACAUAUUUUGAGCUGAUUCAGUUGGUGCCUCCAGAGGGUGAGAUCCUCGCCACAAUGGAGGAGAGCAGCAGAGACUUCCUGUACCCCGGUCCCAGACUGAGCUCCAGAGAAAGAGCUGCAGAGAGAGAUAUACUGAUGAAGAGAUCCUCCUCCUUUCCUGGAAUCUACCCCAAAGUUGAGUUUGCCACAACAUCAGUCAUAGAAGAGAGUGAUGGGAGAGACAGCUGGCAUGCCUCGCCUACUCGCUCUCCUUCUCCAGUGAGGCCCUCUUUAACCCCAUCCAGACAGAGGUCAGCCAAAACGUCUUCGCCAUCCAGAGGGCAUUUUUCCCAAAAAGAUGAUGCGAACCGUGCGUCUUGGAAAGAUGGGAAGGAAAGGCUAAAUGUUGAGACUGGGAUUACGAACUCUGCACCGUCCUCCACAUCCAGACGCUCCCCUUCUUCAUCCCCAUCUGGCCGGAGUCCCCGGAAAAACAAGAAGGAGAGAAAACCAGCUUCUCCUAGAGGUUCUUUACACUCUGGCUACCAGCAGCCCACAGUUUCCUCAAGGACACGAGCCUUGUCCCCUUACACCCACCGCAAGAUGUGCCAGCUUUCAGAGGACGCCAGGCAGAGGCUCAGCCAUCUCCAGCUGGGGCCUCACCACUUCAGGAAGGAGACUGAGAGCCAGCCGCCCUUCUUGGUCUCUCAUUGCAGUAAUGCCUCUGUGAUGGGAACUCCUUCCUCCUCUCCACAGAAAGAUAGCAUGCAUCGACACUCAGUCAGCUUCACAGCCGAUCACACAGAUUCUUCUCUCCUGGGGAGUUACAGACCAAGAACAACCACAGUGAAGACGGGUUCCAUGAGGGUCCAGUCGUCUCCAGAGACACCGUCCAGACUUGAGGCCAAGACCAAAAGCCCUGUGAGAGGUGCUGCCUCAGCUCAGUCCACCCUGACUGUGUCAAACUCCAGAAGUCCUCUGAAUCUCAGCCAUUCCCUCAGAGAAAGGCUCCGGAACAGUCAGCCCAGUCCAUCCUACUGCGAGCAGAUCCACCGCCGAGUCAAGAGGAUUCUGCAGACACACAGCCACCUGGGACCACUAAGUGACCUUUGACCUUUAACUUCCUCAUCUAAACACAAGGUGACCAAACAACUGAGGUUACACUACAAAGGCUAUUCACUGCUCCUUGUGCCGCUUUCUCUGUAACAAUUUGCUGGUACUUCUUUUUGUUGUUCCUGGUAAGACGAGAGGAAAGUACAUUUUAUAUGUCUGCAGUAAUGGAAUACUGGAGAGUGAGAUAGAGUAAUGGAGAGAGAGUGAUAUAGAUAGAAAGUGAGUGAUAAAGUGAGAGAGAGAGUGAGAGAUAUAUAUAUAGAGAGAGAGAGAGCUGCUUUGUCAAUUUGUCACUCAUCAGUACUAUGUACUCCUGACAAUAUACUGCAGAGCAAACUAAUAUACCCACACAGGUUAGCAAGCUGUGGUGUUACAGUGCAUUCUGUAACCUGAUGAGAAAUGUUUAUCAUGGUCACAUACUGUAUUUUGAUAGCCGUCAUAAAUAUUGUGAUAUAAUGGAUUUAAAAAUACGGUGCCCAGUAUAUAGAUUUGUCUGUCUCACAUCACUAACACCUCACCUGUCAAUAUUUGGUCAAACCAUCAGUCUAUAUUUCAUGGUUGAAUCACUGUGACAUAAUAAAGCCACACUCAGUGAAA